UGGAUGGAGAGAACUUUUUUUGCAGUAAAGUCAUUUUUAACCAACCUU
rnacentral:tRNA from 1 species